rnacentral:lncRNA from 1 species
AUGCUCAAAAUUCUCCAAGCCAGGCUUCAGCAAUGUGUGAACCGUGAACUUCCAGAUGUUCAAGCUGGUUUUAGAAAAGGCAGAGGAACCAGAGAUCAAAUUGCCAACAUCUGCUGGAUCAUCAAAAAAGCAAGAGAGUUCCAGAAAAACAUCUAUUUCUGCCUUAUUGACUAUGCCAAAGCCUUUGACUGUAUGGAUCACAAUAAACUGUGGGAAAUUCUGAAAGAGAUGGGAAUACCAGACCACCUGACCUGCCUGUUGAAAAAUUUGUAUGCAGGUCAGGAAGCAACAGUUAGAACUGGACAUGGAACAACAGACUGGUUCCAAAUAGGAAAAGGAGUAUGUCAAGGCUGUAUAUUGUCACCCUGCUUAUUUAACUUAUUUGCAGAGUACAUCAUGAGAAAUGCUAGGCUGGAAGAAGCACAAGCUGGAAUCAAGAUUGGCAGGAGAAACAUCAAUAACCUCAGAUAUGCAGAUGACACCACCCUUAUGGCAGAAAGUGAAGAGGAACUAAAAAGCCUCUUGAUGAAAGUGAAAGAGGAGAGUGAAAAAGUUGGCUUAAAGCUCAACAUUCAGAUAAUGAAGAUCAUGGCAUCUGGUCCCAUCACUUCAUGGAAAAUAUAUGGGGAAACAGUGGAAACAGUGUCAGACUUUAUUUUUGGGGGCUCCAGAAUCACUGCAGAUGGUGAUUACAGCCAUGAAAUUAAAAGCUGCUUACUCCUUGGAAGGAAAGUUAUGACCAACCUAGAUAGCAUAUUCAAAAGCAGAGACAUUACUUUGCCAACAAAGGCCCAUCUAGUCAAGGCUAUGGUUUUUCCUGUGGUCAUGUAUGGAUGUGAGAGCUGGACUGUGAAGAAAGCUGAGUGCCAAAGAGUUGAUGCUUUUGAAUUACGGUGUUGGAGAAGACUCUUGAGAGUCCCUUGGACUGCAUGGAGAUCCAACAAGUCCAUCUUAAAGGAGAUCAACCCUGGGAUUUCUUUGGAAGGACUGAUGCUAAAGCUGAAACUCCAGUACUUUGGCCACCUCAUGUGA